GUGAGUCAUCGAAUCUUUGAACGCACCUUGCGCUCUUUGGCCAUUCCAAAGAGCAUGCCUGUUUGAGUGUCAUUGAAUCCUCAAGGCCCCACCGGCUUUUUCUUGCUGGCUGCGGGUUUCUUGGAUGUGGGAGUGCUGCGGGGUGGCCUUGGCCUUCCGCUCUCCUGAAAUGCAUUAGUAGGACCCAUGGGUCUUUGUGGCGUUGAUAGUUGUCUACGUCUCAUUCCUGUUGGGCUUCACCUGCUUCCAAAGUCCCAUCUCUUAUCAGAACACUUUGACCUCAAAUCAGGUAGGACUACCCGCUGAACUUAAGCAUAUCAAUAAGCGGAGGA
rnacentral:misc_RNA from 1 species